UACACACUGCCCGUCACACCAUGGGAGUGGGUUGCACCAGAAGUAGUUAGCUUAAAAUUGGGCGAUUACCACGGUGUGAUUCAUGACUGGGGUG
rnacentral:rRNA from 1 species